CGUGGCCGCCGGUCUUCGCCGUGUAAAGCCCCUUCGACGAGUCGAGUUGUUUGGGAAUGCAGCUCUAAAUGGGAGAUACAUUUCUUCUAAAGCUAAAUAUUGGCCAGAGACCGAUAGCGCACAAGUAGAGUGAUCGAAAGAUGAAAAGCACUUUGGAAAGAGAGUCAAAAAGCACGUGAAAUUGUUGAAAGGGAAGCGCUUGCAGCCAGACGUGCCCGCAGUUGCUCACCCAGGCUCUUGCCUGGGGCACUCUUCUGCGGGCAGGCCAGCAUCAGUUCGGGCGGUUGGAUAAAGGUCUCUAUCACGUACCACCCUUCGGGGUGUCCUUAUAGGGGAGACGCAACACGGCCAGCCUGAACUGAGGACCGCGGAUGCUG
rnacentral:rRNA from 1 species